GACGUUCUCACACUGGACUUUUGAUCUGCCAAAAAACUUGGCCAAAAAGCAGGACUGCGUGGUGACUAACUAUCAUUCUUGGGGAAGCUGGCAUGACGUCCAAUGCUUGAAGAGGAGACCCUUUAUUUGUCAAAAAAGAAUGUGAUCAUCAACUGAUGAAUUUCACCUUUCCGUCGGUGUCCACAUGACAGCCUAAU